CCUGGGGCUGUCAGUCGGCGCCCGCCGCCGCCGCUGCUCGCACGCCGGGCCUCGGAAGCCACCUCAGCCGAGCGCGCAGUCUGGUGUCUCGGAUUUGGCCCUGCGUUGCCCACUCCUGAUGCAUCUUGUCCAGUGAGGAACAAAACACCCUGCCACCUGCCUGAAGAACAGGAAGAAAAGAAGUUACAGAGGCAGAUUCCAGCGCAUCCAGAGACCGAGAUGUUGAUGCUCAGAGGGAGCUGGGAUCACCAAGACAUGUACUUCCAGAAGCCCCAGGGGACAAGAGUCACACUGACCCAAUUAGUAGAUGUGCUGACAGUGACCACAUGGCAUAGACAUCAGCACCCUGGCUGCCCAUCCAAGAUCCAUCAAAUUGAAGAUAGCACAGCAAAAUCUCACUUUGUGAAACCUGGCACAAGGACUAGAGAAGCCAGAGCAGCAGCAUAUAUCCCAAAACCACCGGAAAAAGCUGGAGAGAAUGGCAUGUUGACCUGUGGUUGGCUAUACCAAUAGUUAUUGUGAGAAGAGACCUCUUCCCCAUCAGAUCCCACCACAUCUGGACACCACUCUCCACCAUAAGCCUGGAGUCUCGCUUCAGCUGGCAACCUUCCACUCAGCCUUCCUUGUGAGGAAAUGCCCUGUUUCUCCUCCAUAUUCUGGAUUCACUCGUUACACCCAGCACCGGCCACCUUAAAUAGAAGCACCCUGAGACAUUCAUACUUCUCAGAAGCUGCCAAAGAAUGUCACCCUUGUGUCACCCUGGGUCACAUAGAACCUGGGUCCACUUCUGAUAGAUGCUGCCUGACCUGGUCAGAGAGUCGCUCCUUCCUCAGUUUUGGUACCCUUCUCCCUGCCUCUCUCAUCCCGGUUGUGACUUUGCCAGUGCCUGCUAUUUGGAUUGCAUGAAGAGGGAGAAGGUUUGGUUGGAGGAAUCGAUGCCUUGGUCUGCUGGGAGGCUGAAACCUGCUCUAACCUAGGCAGAAGGUCACCAACCCUCAUCUCAUGCCCUGCCUUGUCCCCUACCCAUGACUCAAUCGUACCUCUGUGUCUGUCCUAUCCUGGACAGUUGUACUUUAUUUUUUUUCAAUUAAACAGAAUUUGGUUACUUUUUUUUAUUAUUGCAGAGCAAUGCAUUGUUAUUACAAAGACACCAGGAAUAGAGAUAAAUAGAGGAAAAGAAAGUAGCCCCUAUGGUACCUAAUUGAAUGAUAAAUCAACCACUGCCUCAUGUGCCCUGUAGUUCUAUGAACUAUGUAGAUUUAUAUAUAAAAAUGUAAUGGUACCAUAGGUCCCUGGGAAGACUGUUUAUGCCUUCCUCAGAGGACUCCACAUGGGUGGCUCUGGCUUUCCUUGCCUUACCCACAGCAGAGAUGACCCAUGAAUAGCAGUAAAGGGAAGGAGAAUUGGGGGGUGGGGUGGGACUGUCUUUGGGGUGGUGUCUGGGGAUACCACACAUCU
rnacentral:lncRNA from 1 species